CCCAAAACCCCAACUCUACUAGUCAGAGAAGAAGCAGAACCAGUUGCAGGAGGAACAGCUUGAGCUUCCAAAAGAGCAGGAGAAGGUGCAGGAGAAGGAGCAGAGCCCCCAGUGAAGAAACCACCACGAGAUGACAUGACAACAAUGUGGAGCUUCUCGCCUUGGACACAGUUGCUCUUAGAGCCACUGAUGAAGAAGAAAGAACCGAAUCCUUCUCCCCAUCGUACUUCCACACUGUCCACAAAUUGCAUAAACACACAAUCACAAAGAGUUUCAGAAGUUUGAAAACCAAGAUUUUGCAAAAAAACUCACCGAGAGAGUCUCCAACAUGAAACCGCAAACUCUCAGCCCAUUUGUUGAGUGAAUCAGAGGGUGAGGAAGGGAUUUUCCAAGCAGUGUGUUUGCCUCCGACCAGAAUUUCUUUGCAACAGGAGAGAUCAGCCAACAAUAACAAGAAGAAGGAUAAUAGACAGGAAGUAUCAACAAGAGUUAUCUUAGCCAUUAUAGUUAAGUUGUGUAUGAGACUGAUGUGGUUUUAUUUGAACUAUGUUGUGAAUGAAUGAUUGGGUUUGCAUAUAUAGAAGAAGAAACUAGCCGUUAGAAGUUAA